ACAUUAGCUCAGUUGGUAAGAGAUUCAGUCUUGAAAGUUGAGGUCCCAGGUUUGAUUCCUGGGGUGCA
rnacentral:tRNA from 1 species